rnacentral:rRNA from 1 species
GACGAACGCUGGCGGCGUGCUUAACACAUGCAAGUCGAACGGAAAGGCCCCUUUGGGGGUACUCGAGUGGCGAACGGGUGAGUAACACGUGAGUAACCUGCCCUUGACUUCGGGAUAACUUCAGGAAACUGGGGCUAAUACCGGAUAGGAAUCCUUGCUGCAUGGUGGGGGUUGGAAAGCUUCGGCGGUUUUGGAUGGACUCGCGGCUUAUCAGCUUGUUGGUGGGGUAGUGGCUUACCAAGGCUUUGACGGGUAGCCGGCCUGAGAGGGCGACCGGCCACAUUGGGACUGGGAUACGGCCCAGACUCCGACGGGAGGGAGCAGUGGGGAAUAUUGAACAAUGGGCGGAAGCCAGAUGCAGAAACGCCGCGGGCGGGAUGACGGCCUUCGGGUUGUAAACCGCUUUCAGCAGGGGCGAAGCUUGUGGUGACGGUACCUGCAGAAGAAGCACCGGCUAACUACGUG